AGUCAUCUUCACCUCCACUGUACUGAUCGAUGUCUUGAUGUCGUGAAAGCUUCCGAGGUCUUCCAAGCCCAUCUUCGGCAUCCAACCUUCCUAGCUUCAAGCUUGAAAUACCAUCCCUCAUGUUGGAAUAAACCUGUGCAUACCAGGAGAAAAAAGAUGAAUAAUAUAUGAGAAUUAGUUUUCACUAGUGGUGCAAACUCCUCUAUUUUCAUAACUGCCUCGCGUUGGAUCC